GUAAAUAAUUAAGGGCGUAUGGUGGAUGCCUAGGCUCUCAGAGGCGAAGAAGGACGUGAUAAGCUGCGAAAAGCUCCGUUUAGGUGCAAAUAACCUUUGAUGCGGAGAUCUCCGAAUGGGAUAACCCAAUAUGUUGAAGACAUAUUAUACCGUAAGGUAGGCAAACGCAGGGAACUGAAACAUCUAAGUACCUGCAGGAGAAGAAAACAAACGUGAUUCCCCCAGUAGCGGCGAGCGACCGGGGAAAAGCCCAAACCGUUAUUGUUUCGGCAGUAGCGGGGUAGUAGGACUGCGACAUUGAUGAAAUAAAUGAAAUGGAACACCUUGGAAAAUGUGAUCACAGAGGGUGAUAAUCCCGUACAUGCAAGUUUAUGAAUCAUAGCAGACUCCUGAGUAAGUCGGGACACGUGUAAUCCUGACCGAAUCCGCCGGGACCAUCCGGCAAGGCUAAAUACUCCUGAGAGACCGAUAGUGAACCAGUACCGUGAGGGAAAGGUGAAAAGCACUUCGAACAGAAGAGUGAAAUAGUCCCUGAACCCAUACGCCUACAAGCAGUCGGAGCCGCUUCGUGCGGUGACGGCGUGCCUUUUGCAUAAUGAGCCUACGAGUUACUCAUCACCAGCGAGGUUAAGUACUUCAGGUACGUAAGCCGAAGCGAAAGCGAGUCUGAAUAGGGCGUCAAGUUGGUGGUGGUAGACGCGAAACCUUAGUGAUCUACCCAUGGGCAGGGUGAAGGUUUGGUAACACAAACUGGAGGCCCGAACCGGUAAACGUUGAAAAGUUUUCGGAUGACCUGUGGGUAGGGGUGAAAGGCCAAUCAAACUGGGAAAUAGCUCGUACUCUCCGAAAUGCAUUUAGGUGCAGCCUCUGUUGUUUUGUUCUAGAGGUAGAGCUACUGAUUGGAUGCGAGGGCUUCACCGCCUAUCAAAUCCGGCCAAACUCCGAAUGCUAGAACAUGAAGACAGGGAGUGAGCCAGCGGGUGCUAAGGUCCGUUGACGAAAGAGGGAGAACUCAGACCAUCAGCUAAGGUCCCCAAUUAUAUGCUAAGUUGGAAUUAAAACGGGGUGGGACUGCUUAGACAGCUAGGAUGUUGGCUUGGAAGCAGCCAUUCAUUUAAAGAGUGCGUAACAGCUCACUAGUCGAGCGGUCCUGCAUGGAUAAUACGCGGGCAUAAGCAUAUAACCGAAGCUAUGGGAUUGUAGAUGAUACAAUCGGUAGGAGAGCAUUCCAUUCAGCAUAGAAGCAGUAUCGUGAGGUAUUGUGGAGCGGAUGGAAAAGCAAAUGUAGGCAUAAGUAACGAUAAUGCGGGUGAGAACCCCGCACGCCGAAAGAUCAAGGAUUCCCCGGCAAUGUCAAUCAUCCGGGGGUAAGUCGGAUCCUAAGGGUAAGCCGAGUGGCGAUCCCGAUGGCAAACAGGUUAAUAUUCCUGUACUGAUCAUAACUGCGAUGCAGCGACGCAGAGGUGACACUGCUGCGUACUGACGGAAUAGUACGUUGAAACCCGUAUUCUUUGAUACCGGUAGUGAAGCACGCCGGUAGAGAUGAAAGGUGAUAGUACCGCAAUGCUUCGGUUGCGCGGAUAAUGCAGGUAAGCUGACUGCCAAGAAAACCUGCUAAGCUUCAGGUAAUGAUCAUCCGUACUGUAAACGGACACACGUGAUCAGGUAGAAAAUACUAAGGCGCUCGAGAGAUUCAUGGUUAAGGAACUAGGCAAAAUGGUCCUGUAACUUCGGGAUAAAGGACGCUCUUGUGAAAGAGCCGCAGAUAAUAGGCCCAGGCGACUGUUUACCAAAAACACAUGGCUAUGCUAAUUCGCAAGAAGAUGUAUAUGGCCUGACACCUGCCCGGUGCCGGAAGGUUAAGAGGAGAGCUCAGAGGUAACUCGAAGGUUUGAAUUGAAGCCCCGGUAAACGGCGGCCGUAACUAUAACGGUCCUAAGGUAGCGAAAUUCCUUGUCGGGUAAGUUCCGACCUGCACGAAUGG
rnacentral:rRNA from 1 species